UACGUAGGGUGCAAGCGUUAAUCGGAAUUACUGGGCGUAAAGCGUGCGCAGGCGGUUUUGUAAGUCUGACGUGAAAUCCCCGGGCUCAACCUGGGAAUUGCGUUGGAGACUGCAAGGCUGGAGUCUGGCAGAGGGGGGGUAGAAUUCCACGUGAUAGCAGUGAAAUGCGUAGAGAUGUGGAGGAACACCGAUGGCGAAGGCAGCCCCCUGGGUCAAGACUGACGCUCAUGCACGAAAGGCGUGGGGAGCAAA
rnacentral:rRNA from 1 species